rnacentral:rRNA from 1 species
CAGUCGCCACGGUAAUCCGUAGGUCCCGAGCGUUGUCCGGAUUUAUUGGGCGUAAAGCGAGCGCAGGCGGUUAGAUAAGUCUGAAGUUAAAGGCUGUGGCUUAACCAUAGUACGCUUUGGAAACUGUUUAACUUGAGUGCAAGAGGGGAGAGUGGAAUUCCAUGUGUAGCGGUGAAAUGCGUAGAUAUAUGGAGGAACACCGGUGGCGAAAGCGGCUCUCUGGCUUGUAACUGACGCUGAGGCUCGAAAGCGUGGGGAGCAAACAGGAUUAGAUACCCCAGUAGUCCCUGUCUCUUAUACC